AUCCAAUAGCAUAAGUGCCUGUAAAAUAAAACAGCAAACCUGAUCCCCCCACCCCCAUGCUAGUACUUGCAGGUAUCGGGAGGGGGAUUUUAAAUUAAAUAACAGACAGAUCACUAUCUAAACGCUUCUGCCCCAGUAACCGUGGCUUGGCUGGGGUCCUCCUGGAGUUUCUCUGCCCUGGAACAGGAUAGUGGACUAGCUCUAUUUCCGCCCAGGGUCUGGACG